UUUCCUUGCCGGAAAAAAAAAAAUUAAAGGGGAAGAAGGAAAUGCAUUAUUUAAAAAAAAGAGUCAUCCCACAGGAGGAUCGAGUGUAUUUUUUGUCUUUUUGUCAGUAUAUUACAAUAUAAUAUAAACUGCAGCAAGCAGGGAAGUUUCAGGAGUUGCAGGGUACGGCAGUUUUGCAACCUAGCUUAAAGUGGGGCGGGCAUGUGCAGGAUCCGAUUAGAAACAGAGGAGGAAAGAGGUUUAAAAGAAACUGGGGCUGCAAAUCGUGCAUACGGUGCGAGAGGCAGACACGAGGGGUAGCUUAACUUUACGCUCCUCGGAAACGUCAGUCUACGUGAAGAAAGUGCAUGAUGGAUGCUAUGUUAACCAAUGAAGGUAUCUGUUCUCUCACAGCUGGGAUGCUUCACUUUCAAAGCACUUGAAAAAUGGUCCUCAAAGCAGGAAUAGGUAAACCAAGGAAAAACAAGCAAGAGAGUGGACAUGGAACCAACUUAUCAAUCAGUUUGAACUGGACCCAACAGCUGACCAGGGACCUACUUGGAGACUGGGGAAGCCACAGAGCAUCUGGAGGACUCACUGUGAUGUCAACAAUUUAACAUUUCUCUGACACCGGAUAUCUUAGUUCAUUCUGUUGUGCAAGACAAAGAGUCCAGGAAAUUCAACGGUUGCACAUUGAAAUAAACAAUAUUUUUGGGGAAAACUUAAGAAGCUGGGGCCAGAAGACUUCAGGUUCAAAUACAGCAUUUGGACAGGCUGUAGACUUUGCACAGCUGCAGUCUUAAUACACUGUAAUAAAUAUGCACACUUCCCAAGUGGCACACACUUAUGCAGACACUCUGAUACCAUAGUGAAGAGAAGACACAACGGCUGAUCCUUCAGGUCAUAAAGGCAGUAAUCAGAGACCUUCCAAUGCUCAAGCAACAAGAAAGAUCCUGAUCUGAUCACAAAGACUCAUGGAUUCCAAUAAGUUUGAAAGCCUGCUAAAGUACAGCAGCACCCCAUCCACAGGAUAAGGAGUUGAGAACCUGGUGAAUCAUUACCAUUCUACACUAGCCUCGGACAUUGACACGUUGUCCCCCAAACUGCCCCUUUCUCCUCAUUGCUCCUUGGUUUUCUGACACCCUAUACUGGAUGAAGAGAGAGAGAGUUAGAAACUCAAGCAUCAGUGGUGGAAAACAGAGGUUGAUUCAGACAGCAUGAAACAUAAUGGAUUCCUCAAAGCCUAUGCUGAAGCUGUAUUACAGGCCAAGAGAACUUUCCUAUCAGCCUCCACCAAGGCUGCCAAAUCCCACCCAAGAAGCUAUCUGGGGAGUAAAUUGCUCCAGCAAUCCUGAGUGCCUACAACAUGCAUCAUCCUACUUGAAAGAUCAUGCACAUCCAGGAACUCUUCUGAACACCCUAAAAGAGUCCCAAUCCAAGACUUAUGAAUCUGACCCAUGCCCUUCCUGGCUUGUGAAAGAGUCAUGAACAACUUAUGCCACUCCUGACCAAAAUAGCCGAUGCCUUAUUCAGAUAAGGAAUCUUCCCUUUCUUCUUCAAACACUGAAGAAACUCUCUCCUAGAUAUUUUACUCCUAGCCAGCUAUUUCCCAGUGUCAAACCUGUCAUUCUUGAGCAAGCACAUAGAGAAUCUACCCAAAGGCCAACUACAAGCUCAUCUAACUGAAAACAACAUCUGAGACUCAACACAAUCUGGAUUCUGGACAGGAUAGGGGUCUGCUUUAGUGGCACUGAUGGAUGAUUUUCUCCUGCCAUUGGAUAGAGGACAGACUUGCAUUUUUUACCCUCAUGGACCUUUCUGCAGCAUUAUACCACUGUCUCACCUGAGAGAAGUGGCAGGAGUCUAGAAUAAUGCACUAAAAUGGUUUGAGUCCUUCCUGAGGUGGAGAGGGACACACAAAGAAUAAUGAUGGAAACUUCACGUCUGCCACUAGACCCCUGAAACUGUGAGGUUCCACAAGGAUUAAUUUUCUCUCUGGUCCUUUUCAUCAUGUACAUGCAACCACUAGAUGAAUUGGUCAGAUGACAUGGACUCAAGUGCCAAUAAUAUGCAGGUGACACACAGCACUACUUAUCCUUCAUCACAUACAGACAGACCACUACCAGCCCAGUGCUUGGAUGAGAUCAACUCAUGGAUGAAGAGAAGCUGUCUGAAGGUGAACCUGAGCAAAAGAGAGGUGAUGCUGGUGGGCAGAUGAAAGUAUUUUGAGGAGUUUUCAGUGACAGUGCAGUCUCCUUUGAGUGAAGGUUCACAUCCACAGUCAGUCAAUUCAGUCCGUAGUCUAGAAGUACUCUUGGAUUCCUCAUUGAUGUUCAGUUCUCACAUUGAGUAAUGCUAUCUACCAUCUCUGGUUGGCUAGGAGAGUCUGUCCCACAUUGGUGGAUGAAGAUCUGGCCUCAGUUAUUCAUGCCUUUGUCACCUCUCAGUUGGACUACAGCAACGUGUUAUAGCUGGGCAUGAAAUCUUCAGCAAUGAGGAAAUUCCAACUAGUACAAAAUGUUGCAGUAUGCUCCUCAGGAACAGAGGCUACUGUGAGCACAUCAAAUCUGUCUUCAGCUCUCUUCACUGGCUUCCUAUAGAAUUCCAAAUCAAGUUCAAGGCCUUGGUCCUUAUCUUCAAAGCGCUCCAUGGCCUGGGCCCAGGAUACUUAAGACUUUUUAAGGUUGUGGGACAAAGACUGUUGUUGACAACUUCACUCUUCUGAUGCAAUGGAAAUCUCAAUAAUAAGACUAAAACUCAUUUGUGUGGGAGACAGAACCUUCUCCAGAGGCGGUACAAGACUAUUGAAUGAACUCCCCCACCAGGAACUAAGGACUAUCACAAAUCUCACCACUUUCUGCUCCAAGUGGAAGGCUCAUUUAUUUGAACUUAUCUUCUCUAAUAUAAAUACACAGCAACAGAUAUAUAUAACUUACCAAAACAAAACACUCCACUCCAUGUGAUUCUUUCUCUGGUGAGAGGAUGUAUAGUCAUGGUGUUUAAUGUGCUCAUGGAAAGCACUCAGAUACUAUGGUAUUGAGCAUGGUAUAAAAAUGUAUAUAUAAUACAGGCUUAGGCUCCUAAGUCAUUUAGGCACUUUUGAAACACACCCUCUGCCUUUCUGUGUAAUUAAUCUAUCUGGAAGCACUCAUUUGUAUACUUAAAAAUAAUUGCUGUGUGCAUGGUCAGAUUCCAAACAGUCUUAAUUUUACCUAAUUGAAAUCAUUUUUUACCUUGAACCAGCAGAAGAUUACUCCUGUAGAAGACUAAUUAGAUGUCUAAUUUCUACUUUCAAAAGUCUAUUUUAUUCAGAUCAAUGUCUCAAAAAAUGUGCUUUAGAAUUAAAAUUGUUUCCUCUUUUUGUUUUGUUUUUUUAAAAAAGAAAUCUGUUUCACCUUCCUCCAAUUCUAAGGCUGCAAGGGUUUCCCUCAUACUUUUGGACAGAAGCCAACUGUAGAAAAUUUGAUCUGAAGAGGUGAAUUUAUGAGAAAAUUAUAUCAUCUGAAAAAAAGAGUAAUAAAUGAAAUAAUUCUGAA